UCUUGGUCAUUUAGAGGAAGUAAAAGUCGUAACAAGGUUUUCCGUAGGUGAACCUGCGGAAGGAUCAUUAGAAGAAUCUGUACUAAGAUACAAUUCUGACACCCACCCUCUGUGUACCUUUCCCGUUGCUUCCAUGGGGUAUGGAGCGGGCUGGCCCCGAUAUACUCCAGCUGAGUCAGGAUGGCACUUAUUCCCUGGCUUGGUGCCCAUGAAUGGACCCUCAAACACUUUGUAUUUAUUUUGCCUUCUGUCUGAAUUAUGUUUAUAACAAUCGUUAAAACUUUCAACAACGGAUCUCUUGGUUCUCGCAUCGAUGAAGAACGCAGCGAAAUGCGAUAAGUAGUGUGAAUUGCAGAAUUCAGUGAAUCAUCGAAUCUUUGAACGCACAUUGCGCCUUCUGGUAUUCCGGGAGGCAUGCCUGCUCGAGCGUCAUGGCGACGAUAUUUCAAGCUCUUUUUGCUUGGUUCUGAAGGUUGAAUGUUGCAUUCACCUUUGAAAUUUACUGGCGGACGGCUUCGUGUUCCUUUUGGCGUUAUAGGAUAACUCUUUCGCUUGAACUCGUUGGCCUGUCCUGCCCUCAAACCCCCAACUAUUUUUUGGUUGACCUCGGCUUGGUAGGGAUACCCGCUGAACUUAAGCAUAUCAAUA
rnacentral:rRNA from 1 species